rnacentral:rRNA from 1 species
UGGCUCAGAAUCAACGCUGGCGGCGUGCCUAACACAUGCAAGUCGAACGAGAAAGUGGAGCAAUCCAUGAGUACAGUGGCGCACGGGUGAGUAACACGUGACUACCUGCCCUUGAGUGGGGGAUAACCUAGGGAAACCUGGGCUAAUACCGCAUAAUAUCGAGAGAUCAAAGGAGCAAUUCGCUGAAGAGGGGGUCGCGGCUGAUUAGCUAGUUGGUAGGGUAACGGCCUACCAAGGCUAUGAUCAGUAUCCGGCCUGAGAGGGCGCACGGACACACUGGAACUGAAACACGGUCCAGACUCCUACGGGAGGCAGCAGUGGGGAAUUUUGCGCAAUGGGGGAAACCCUGACGCAGCAACGCCGCGUGGAGGAUGAAGUCCCUUGGGACGUAAACUCCUUUCGAUCGGGACGAUAAUGACGGUACCGGAAGAAGAAGCCCCGGCUAACUUCGUG